rnacentral:rRNA from 1 species
CCCGCGACUUGGCGAGAAGUCCAUUGAACCUUAUCAUUUAGAGGAAGGANAAGUCGUAACAAGGUUUCCGUAGGUGAACCUGCGGAAGGAUCAUUG